rnacentral:tRNA from 1 species
GCCAGUGUGGCAACUGUUGGCAAUGUUGCAGCGGCCUGUAAAGCCGUCGUCUUCGGGCACCGGGGGUUCGAUUCCCUCCACUGCGCACCA